AAGUCGUAACAAGGUUUCCGUAGGUGAACCUGCGGAAGGAUCAUUACUGAGUUAGGGUCCUCUGGGCCCGAACCUCCAACCCUAUGUUUAACUACUUUGUUGCUUUGGCAGGCCCGCCUUUCGGGGCCGCCGGAGGGGUUAAGUCACCUCUGGUCAGUGCUUGUCAGUAGCCAAUCUAAAUUCUUUAUAAUUAUGAAGUCUGAAUCUUUAAUUAAAAUUUAUUAAA
rnacentral:misc_RNA from 1 species